GGAAAUUCCACAAGGAAGUGUAACAUUCUGGUUUACUAAUAGGUGCACCAGUCUCUUGAGAUUGACAAUAGAUGCUGGUAACUCACAAACAUAGGUGGCUCUUAUGUCCAGUAUCUCUAAGCACCAUAGGUGUCCGAUUUGUUCUGGGAGCUUACUUACUUUCUCCGCUCUUCGGAGGCUCAGAUACCUCAGCUGAAACAACAUCCCUAUAUUUUCAAGAUGAUGGUUCUCCAGCUGUUUGCAAUCAUCAAAGUCCAGAAAACGCAAAUGCGUGAACUUAUCCAUAGAAGGAAUUUUCACAGAUUCCCCAAACACAUCAAGUGAUCGGACAUGGGACAACACGAAGCCUCUUGGCACUAUCAAUUCUUUUUGCUUGCCGGCUUGCAGGGAGAGCCGGCGAACUUUGUUGUGUGUCCCAACAGUUAAACUAGGAACACCUACCAAAGUAACAAAGGUUUCUUCGAUGGAUUUUGAUAUGAUGAAAUCAAGAAUUGUGUCGUGAAGUCGACAACUCUUGAC
rnacentral:rRNA from 1 species